UUUCCCAUUUGACUACCACAACUUCUCCUAAUAGAAUUUAGUGGCUAUGCUUGUGGGAUAGAUUAAAGGCGCCAUGAUCUUAAGAGGGAGGGUUUUUCAGUGUCCUCCCUUUAUAUGAAAUGGCUGAACAGAAAUAG
ensembl:snoRNA